UUCCACGAGGAGCACCGAGAGGAACCGGCGGACGCCGGCGUGAAGUUGCCCCCCGAGGGCAGUGGGGUCUCGGCCCCCCCCGGCCCGUGGCUGCACCGGGCCCACCCGGGGGUCCCAGGGGCGGCCGUCGCUGAGCCCCCCCGCUCGGGGCACGCGUGGGGGGGAGCCCUCGGGGUCCCCGCACCCUUGUGGGGAACCGCACCGGAGCUUAGGAGCCUCGGGGGGACGCGGGGCCAGCCGGCGAGGUGCGAGAGGGAUUUCCUCGGGGAUGCGCGGCGCAGGGGCCGGCUGUUUCCCGGGCGAUGGGUGGGGAGAGUAGGAGGAGGAGGAGGAGGAGAAGAGGAGGAGGAGGAGGAGGGGUCCCCGCGGCUUUAUCUCCCCCCCGGCUCCGCCCGCCGCCGGCUGCCUCCUGUCGCCGCUCAGCUCCGCACCGCUCCGCUCCGCUCCGCACCGCUCCGGGCGGCGCCCAUGGGCUGCGGCAACUCCACGGCCGGCGGCGCGGGCGGGCGAGGUGCCACAGGGACUACUAAAGAUGUUACAGGAUCCAGUUAUUUUAAUUCAAAGGAUUUCUUGUUUCUUGAUGGCGAUUCAUUGCAACUCCAGGAGCCAGGUGGAUUGAGGGAGGACUGGAUUCUGCUCAGAGCCCUCCCAGGUAACCACAGAGAAGCUUUUUUGCCCUCUGAGACUUGAGUUGCUCCACUAGUAAACUGGCAACGGUGGUACGGUCUUCCUAUGCAAAGUGCUCUGAGGUUGAGGUCUGCGCAACGACAAAAAGGGCGUAUGAUCUGGGAAUGUGAUCUCUUCCUGUAUACUCCAGCCCUCAAAAACCUGUCACGCAGCUUCAGCCAACUGACAUACUAAAACAAGUACACUGUGGUAACUGGGAAAGUUUGGAUAUAAGAGGGGUAAAGUAUGUACUACAGACUAAUGCAAUGCCUAUUGUAUUCAGAAUGUGCCUGGGUUUGGAAGAAGAUUAAUAGCAGUAGGAAGGAAAGGACACAAUUCAAAACUGUUUCAAAAUAUUGGGAAGAAAUCCAUCAAAUACAAAUGACAGUCCCUUGGUCCCAAGAAAGACUGUGAAACUAAGGUGACGAAAUCUGUUGCUUGUGCAAAAUUUAAUGAAUUAUUUCUGGCGGGACUACUGAGUACUGCUAGAAGGAGCCUGUAUAAUGCCAGAGUUCAACACGAACAAAGUCAUAAAAACUGAGGUAAGAAAAAUGUGGAUGGAGUGAAUUAAUGUGAAUGCAUGUCAUUUGAUAUUUAAAAGAUUAUGUGAAAAAUGGCAGCUUUUUUGCCAUCAAAUGGGCAUAGGACUGAUGGAUGUAAAAACUGACAGCUGGAGAACUAAGAAUAUUUUUCAAACUUAAGAGGGUGACUGGAACCCUCCUGGGACAGACAAAUCCUUACCAAAAGAAACAUUUCUUCUAGCCGAAAAUAGAUGCUGUUAUAGGGAUUUGCUGUUAAAUCUGCCUACCAGCUACAGGACUCCACCUACGCCACCUGCUGAAAAAUGUGAUCUCAGUUCCUUUGCAGUAGAUGUCAACAGCAUCUGAGAGCAGAUGCAGUGACACUGCAGCAGAUCAGUGCAAAGCACAUCAGGCUGUCUGGUCCAGCCUGUUUAGUUCCUUUUGCCAUCCAUUCCUGGGGCAGAAAGGCUUAUCAUAGCUUGCUGUUCCUGGAGAACACUGUA
rnacentral:lncRNA from 1 species